AACCUCCGCAAUGCACGCAAGUGCGACGGGGGAACCCCAAGUGCCACUCUUAACGGGGUGGCUUUUCAGAAGUGUAAAAAGCUUCUGGAAUAAGGGCUGGGCAAGACCGGUGCCAGCCGCCGCGGUAACACCGGCAGCUCAAGUGGUAGCCGCUUUUAUUGGGCCUAAAGCGUCCGUAGCCGGUCUGAUAAGUCUCUGGUGAAAUCCCACAGCUUAACUGUGGGAAUUGCUGGAGAUACUAUCAUGACUCGAGGUCGGGAGAGGCUGGAGGUACUCCCAGGGUAGGGGUGAAAUCCUGUAAUCCUGGGAGGACCACCUGUGGCGAAGGCGUCCAGCUGGAACGAACCUGACGGUGAGGGACGAAAGCCAGGGGCGCGAACCGG
rnacentral:rRNA from 1 species